ACGAACGCUGGCGGCGUGCUUAACACAUGCCAGUCGAACGGUGAAGCGCCUUCCUUUUUGGUGGGUGUGGAUGAGUGGCGAACGGGUGAGUAACACGUGAGUAACCUGCCCCCUUCUUCUGGAUAACCGCAUGAAAGUGUGGCUAAUACGGGAUAUUCUGGGUCUGUCGCAUGAUGGGUCUGGGAAAGAUAUUGUUUCGGUGGGGGAUGGGCUCGCGGCCUAUCAGCUUGUUGGUGGGGUGAUGGCCUACCAAGGCGGUGACGGGUAGCCGGCCUGAGAGGGUGGACGGUCACACGGGGACUGAGACACGGCCCAGACUCCUACGGGAGGCAGCAGUGGGGAAUAGUGCACAAUGGGCGCAAGCCUGAUGCAGCGACGCCGCGUGAGGGAUGGAGGCCUUCGGGUUGUGAACCUCUUUCGCCAGUGAAGCAGGCCUGCCUCGUUUGUGGGUGGGUUGACGGUAGCUGGAUAAGAAGCGCCGGCUAACUACGUG
rnacentral:rRNA from 1 species